rnacentral:rRNA from 1 species
UGGGGAAUUUUGGACAAUGGGCGAAAGCCUGAUCCAGCAAUGCCGCGUGUGUGAAGAAGGCCUUCGGGUUGUAAAGCACUUUUGUCCGGAAAGAAAUCCUUGGCUCUAAUACAGUCGGGGGAUGACGGUACCGGAAGAAUAAGCACCGGCUAACUACGUGCCAGCAGCCGCGGUAAUACGUAGGGUGCAAGCGUUAAUCGGAAUUACUGGGCGUAAAGCGUGCGCAGGCGGUUUGCUAAGACCGAUGUGAAAUCCCGGGCUCAACCUGGGAACUGCAUUGGUGACUGGCAGGCUAGAGUAUGGCAGAGGGGGGUAGAAUUCCACGUGUAGCAGUGAAAUGCGUAGAGAUGUGGAGGAAUACCGAUGGCGAAGGCAGCCCCCUGGGCCAAUACUGACGCUCAUGCACGAAAGCGUGGGGAGCAAACAGGAUUAGAUACCCUGGUAGUCCACGCCCUAAACGAUGUCAACUAGUUGUUGGGGAUUCAUUUCCUUAGUAACGUAGCUAACGCGUGAAGUUGACCGCCUGGGGAGUACGGUCGCAAGAUUAAACUCAAUGAAUUGACGGGGUCAUAGCUGUUUCCU